CGCAGUUAUCGAUAAAUCGUUGUGAGCUCGACAUUGCGUAAAAGAGACAAAUAUUUCAGUGCAAGGUGCUAGUGUUUAUUGAAUCAGCGAUCUUCGAAUUCAUAGAUAGACACUGCACAUAUAUAUAUAUGUAAUCAUUUCACUACGGAGGACAACGUUUCUAUGCAGAUGGCCCGCCUGUCCACGUAUGUACACCUGGUCGACGGCAGCAAAUUUAUAAAAUUAAAAUAUACAUAUAACUUCAAUAAAAAAGCCAAAUUUUUAUUAAAAAAAAU